rnacentral:lncRNA from 1 species
UGAGAGAGUAUGGCCAGCUGAGCCCGUAGGUGUUGCUGUGGCAAUUGGGACGCUGAGAGCUGGGUUUCCCUGGAAACGGGAGUGCAGGACCCUGUUGCUAUGGGGAGAAAGGAACGCUGUUGGCUGGAAGCAGAUUUCCCUGGCGACCUGGAGACGCCCUGGGUGAAACUGUCUACCUGAGCAACGGCACCUGGGAGGGGCUGGCCUUUUCCCCCAGACACCCCCCCCCCCGCAUUCGCUCCAGGGGGAGCCGUGUGCUUGCUGGACACACAGCAGGCAGAGGCAGCACGUGGAUCACUGGUGUCCCUUGAUCUGGACUCAAGAACUAUGGCUUUUUAAAAACAUUUGUCAAAGAAUGUAGUGGUUGUCACAGGUGGUGGACUGAGGCCUGGGGAGGGACACUGCCUGCCUGAGGGGCAAAGGAGCUCAUCUUCCUGGCCUUGCACCUGUGGUCUGACUCCCACUAGAGCCCUUCAGAGUCAUCUGCCCGUGGACCCACCCUUGUCCCAGGAAGCUGCACCAUUUCCCACCCUCUGGAACCGGAAAGGACCGCCAGCCGCCCUGUCCGGAGGAGAGCAGACCCCAGUCAGCAUGCGUGGUAGAGGGUCUGCAGAGCUUACCCACAACUUCUCACCCCGGAGGCUGCCAGGAGCUGUCGGGAUGCCAGGGCAGGGCAGCUUCCCAUAGCCUCUCAAGGUGCUGGAUUACAGGCGUGAACCACUGCACCCGGCCCCACCUGCGUUUUAGAAAGUUCCUUCUGGCUGUGGAGUUGCCCCGGACAAGACCUAAGGUGAGGAUGGGAUUUUCUGGGUCCAGGUGGGCAUCACCUGGGGCCUCUGUGCCAUCUGGGGGUGGGCAUGGCCGCCUGCAGUUCAACCUCCCCCUGCCCACGGCAGCUCCAAGUCCAUGAUUUUCCCAGAUGACCUCCCGCGCCUCUUCCUCAGGCACUGGAGGGUUUGCCCAGGGAAGAGGGAUUUCCUGGGAGAGUCCUGGUGAGCCAUGAAGGGUGGUCCCUCCUCUUGGUGGGGCCCCGACCCAAGGCAGGCCCUCCUCACCGCCCACCUCCUCUUAGCCUUGGGGUCCUGGCUGCUCCACCGGACACAUCCUUGUUUCUUUGCUGCCCAAUGUCCCCCUUGACGCUGCUUCUCCCCCUUAACCCUGCCCCUCUGUGGCUGUGCAGGAAAGCCCACGCCUGCUGGCCAUGGUCCCGAUUCCCCCCAGGACACCUUUCCAGGACACGAGGGCUGGCCCAGCCCCAUGCACGCCUCC